CAGUCGCCACGGGAAUACGUAGGUGGCAAGCGUUAUCCGGAAUUAUUGGGCGUAAAGCGCGCGUAGGCGGUUUUUUAAGUCUGAUGUGAAAGCCCACGGCUCAACCGUGGAGGGUCAUUGGAAACUGGUAAACUUGAGUGCAGAAGAGGAAAGUGGAAUUCCAUGUGUAGCGGUGAAAUGCGCAGAGAUAUGGAGGAACACCAGUGGCGAAGGCGACUUUCUGGUCUGUAACUGACGCUGAUGUGCGAAAGCGUGGGGAUCAAACAGGAUUAGAUACCCGCGUAGUCCCUGUCUCUUAUAC
rnacentral:rRNA from 1 species